rnacentral:rRNA from 1 species
GAUGAACGCUGGCGGCGUGCCUAAUACAUGCAAGUUGAGCGGGAGGUUUACCUCCAGCAGCGAACGGGUGAGUAACACGUAUCUAACCUGCCCUUAAGUCUGGAAUAACGUUGGGAAACCGACGCUAAUGCCGGAUAGGUAAUUGAAUCUUAUGAAUUAAUUAUUAAAGAAGCGUUUGCUUCGCUAAAGGAUGGGGAUGCGCAGCAUUAGAUAGUUGGUGGGGUAAUUGCCCACCAAGUCAACGAUGCUUAGCCGACCUGAGAGGGUGAUCGGCCACACUGGAACUGAGACACGGUCCAGACUCCUACGGGGAGGCAGCAGUAGGGAAUUUUCGACAAUGGACGAAAGUCUGAUCGAGCAACGCCGCGUGAGGGAAGAAGGUCUUCGGAUUGUAAACCUCUGUUAUAAGGGAAGAACAGUCAGAGCAGGAAAUGGCUUUGAUUUGACGGUACCUUAUCAGAAAGUGACGGCUAACUUCGUGCCAGCCGCCGCGGUAAU